ensembl:snRNA U6 U6 spliceosomal RNA
UUGCUUCAGAAGCACAUACACUAAGGCUGAAACAGUAUCGAAAAGACUUGCAUGGCCUCUGCACAAGAAUGAAAUGCAAAAUUCAUAAGUAUUCCUUAUUUUC